UAAGUGUUCAAAAUCCCCUUUUAUUGGUUGUUGGCAUCCAGGUGAACCAAUGGCACAAGAGUAAGAUUUAAUCACCAAAAAAAUAAAACAGAGAGUUCCAGUUUCACAAAGUAAAAAAAAAUAAAAAAAAGUGGAUUUUUUAUUUUAUUUAUAUAGUUACAUUUAGUAAAUUACCCAGAAACACUUGAGUCAUACACAGGCAUUACCAAGAACUACAGUGAGGUACUCUAACCUCUCACCUGUGUGAACCAACAGUCAACACACACAUAUCCAUCCACUAACACCACAUCAUUGACCUCUUGGACUAGAUCACAGUGGAUCACAUUUACAUGAUAAUGGAGGAGAUGAAGCACCAGAUUCCAGUUGUGGAGGAGGAGUGAAACCAGGAAGUGAGAUGGUUUUUAUAUCAAUGACCAACAGAUCGUUCUCCAUGAUAAUGGCUGUGCCUUUAGAGAGGGAAAUUAAAAGAAAUUCUUCCAGUCAGAGAGGUUUUAACGUCCGAACGGGAUCGGCGAUCCCGUCAGAGAGGUUAACGUCCGACCGGGAUCGGGGAUCCCGUCAGAGAGGUUAACGUCCGACCGGGAUCGGGGAUCCAGUCAGAGAGGUUAACGUCCCACCAGAUCAGAGCUCUGGACAGCUGUAAGGACACACACUUCCUUCAUGAAAACAACAUUUAACAGGUUAUUUCCUGUCUGGGAGAUCAAAAUCUCCACCAAUGAGCUCACAGCUAGAGGAAGACAUAAUUUCCUCUAGGUUAACAUUGUAAAUUUCCUGUGAUUCAAUAUUAUGAGAUGAGGGAGUAAAACCCCAUUCCAGAAUCCACUUCCAGUUUUUCCACGGCGCUCAGAGUCCAGCGGGUCUCUACUUCCAGACAGAACCGAUUCUGUAUCAUCACUGCUUUUAUUUCUUCUUCUAAAAGGGUCAUUUCAAAAUAAGCCGACAUAUGCAGCGUUUACCGUAAACAUUGCAUUGUGGGAUUGAAUCCUGGCCAACAAAAUCAGGUCAUGGAUGAUAAAUCAGUGGUUUAAUACAGAGACAGACAGGUGGAGGGAGACACCUGGAUACAAAGACCAAAAUAAACACACAGAGACGGAUAGAGAGAGAGAGAGAGAGAGACGGAUAGAGAGAGAGAGACGGAUAGAGACAGAUAGAGAGAGAGAGAGACAGAGAGACAGAUAGAGAGAGAGAGAGAGAGACGAUAGAGAGAGAGACGGAUAGAGAGACGAUAGAGAGAGAGACGGAUAGAGAGACGAUAGAGAGAGAGACGGAUAGAGAGACGAUGAGAGAGAGAGACGGAUAGAGAGACGAUAGAGAGAGAGACGGAUAGAGAGACGAUAGAGAGAGAGACGGAUAGAGAGACGAUAGAGAGAGAGACGGAUAGAG
rnacentral:lncRNA from 1 species